AGUUGAGUAGUUUAAUGGUUAGAACACUAGUUAUAAAUGGAGAAAGUGACUAGUAAUAGAGGUUCGACUCCUCUCUCAACUU
rnacentral:tRNA from 2 species